CUACGUGCCAGCAGCCGCGGUAAUACGGGGGGUGCGAGCGUUAAUCGGAAUAACUGGGCGUAAAGGGCACGCAGGCGGUGACUUAAGUGAGAUGUGAAAGCCCCGGGCUUAACCUGGGAAUUGCAUUUCAUACUGGGUCGCUAGAGUACUUUAGGGAGGGGUAGAAUUCCACGUGUAGCGGUGAAAUGCGUAGAGAUGUGGAGGAAUACCGAAGGCGAAGGCAGCCCCUUGGGAAUGUACUGACGCUCAUGUGCGAAAGCGUGGGGAGCAAACAGGAUUAGAUACCCUGGUAGUCCACGCUGUAAACGAUGUCGAUUUGGGGGUUGGGCUUUAAGCUUGGCGCCCGUAGCUAACGUGAUAAAUCGACCGCCUGGGGAGUACGGCCGCAAGGUUAAAACUCAAAUGAAUUGACGGGGGCCCGCACAAGCGGUGGAGCAUGUGGUUUAAUUCGAUGCAACGCGAAGAACCUUACCUACUCUUGACAUCCAGAGAACAUUC
rnacentral:rRNA from 1 species